rnacentral:lncRNA from 1 species
AAAAGAAAAAGGUGAACAUGUUGUGCAGAUUGUGGAGACUGCAUGUAUAUGUGGUGAUGUUUCACUCGCAUCCGUCAGAGUUUCAGUUCCAAUUUAGGAGGUUCACACAUGUUGACCAACUCAUAGUAACGAAUUGAGCAUUUAUAUUCUUUGAGUUCCAUGGUACCUUGUUCACACUUUUGAGCUUGGAUCAUUUACUCGGAUUCCGCAGAACAAUUCACAGCCAACAGUGAAUUCAGAAGUUGGCAGUUCCAUUCAGACAACAGAAGUUACAGAAAUGACGGGAGAUAUCUCGAUGGAGUGCUGCGCAGUUCUGCAAAAUUGAUCCUAUCAAAGGUAAUUACAUUACAUGCGUUUCUUGUGUUGCGUGAUGGAUUAUUUGGUCUUUCGAUGCUGAUUUUGGUUUCGUGUAUGUGGGGGCAUGCGUCAUCAUGCAGGGUCUCACUCCCUCUUGACGAACCUCAAGUCCUCUCCCCCGCCUCACUUCAUUGUUAGUUUUUUUUUCGGCGGGUGUAAAAAGGUUUAUUCCAAAGCAAUAGAGUUACCUGCACAUGUGUGCAGAGUUUGCUAGCUGCAGCAAGUAGUCUAACGCCAAUUCGACACUCACCUGCUGAACUUCGGUCAGCAUCUCUUUGCUAGUUAGUGUCAUCUCCUGUUGGACUUCUACUUGUUGGUGAUCCGCCCACUGAUCAUCACGACAAAUCGAUGGAUGGAACUGGGCUAUAGCAGCAGUUGAAUUGCAGGCCAGCAAGCAAGAACCUGAGACAACGUUCAAGUGUGUUGUAAAUUGUAAUGCUUUCUUCGGACUGAAAUUGCUUGCUCUUCAGACAUGUAAUUUCAGUUAUUUGCAAAAAAGAAAAGACGUGCAUAAAAUUCCAAUUAAGCCGAAGCAAACUUACAAAAAAAUUGUCCAUUCGUUUAGUUGUGCAUAAUUUCCGAGUUUGCAUGGCUGAGAAAAAAAUAACAAAACAAAACAGAAUAAUACGUAUCAUUACAAGGCCCAGGAGAGAGAGGGGGAGAGAGAGGCAGCCUUUUCUAGCCGGGAGCUUCAGUUUCUCCGAGCGGGAUCCAGGCAGCGUCAGGGAGGUCAGCAGUGACAGGGACAGAGCGGCCAGCCAUGACCCGGGAGACAUGGCGCGCGGAGGCCACUGCGGUUGGUGGUUUAAAAUAUUAUUAUAUUUAAAAUCAUGUAUUUCUCUAGAUAUUGCACUGCUGUUCCUCUGGUACUAUGUUUAUCAUCAUUUUUUAUAAUGUUUUGCUUAAUAUCAACGCUGUUAAAAAUCAAGUUUUGUCAUUAGGUUGAUGUACAAGAAGGAUAUAGAAAAGCUCAUUCGUGGUUACGUUAAUUCGUUGGAACCAAAUGACACAUGACCGCGUAAGGUAAAAUAUGCUCUCCAAUUUCAAAUAGUUUUAGAUGCAAACAUAAACUAGCAUUAUAUCCUUACCGAAAAAGGGUUUCCCCCGCUUUAUAUUAUAAAGCACCCACCGAGCCACAAGUGCAACGAUACAAAAGAAAGGAAGGAAAAACCAUAAACGGCAAAGAUACAAGAUACCAAAGGAGCCACUAACAAGACUCGAAUGCACCAAGCACAAGCUUGAACAUCGAAGCCCUCGGCGAACAGGAGCCAACACACGCCGCGACUAAGCCGAGGUAGAUCCCGCUGCAGGAGGAUUGUCACGCUCCGUCAUCCCCCUUGAGCCAAGCCAUCCGGUCCGCCAUCCGUCUCUACCUCCAAAGAGAGCCCCCUGCCCUCUGGUCCUGGAUCGGAGGACACUACGCCGUCGACAGGCAGAGUCGCUCACCCCUGAGCUCGCAUGACCAGGACCAACAGGUUGCCGGGAGGGGGCGACAAGCACGACUACCGCACCAGGCAGCCGCACCACCAAGCAUCGCCAACGCCGCGCGCCGGCGCCAACUUCAACCGCAAGUGGCCGAGCAUGGACACCACUGGCGAUAUCAGGCAGCCACCUCCCAUGCCAAAGCCUCGAC